UGGGGAAUUUUGGGCAAUGGGCGAAAGCCUGACCCAGCAACGCCGCGUGAAGGAUGAAGUAUUUCGGUAUGUAAACUUCGUAAGAAUAGGAAGAAUAAAUGACGGUACUAUUUGUAAGGUCCGGCUAACUACGUGCCAGCAGCCGCGGUAAUACGUAGGGACCAAGCGUUGUUCGGAUUUACUGGGCGUAAAGGGCGCGUAGGCGGCGUGGUAAGUCAUCUGUGAAAUCUCCGAGCUUAACUCGGAACGGUCAGAUGAUACUGCUGUGCUAGAGUACAGAAGGGGCAAUCGGAAUUCUUGGUGUAGCGGUGAAAUGCGUAGAUAUCAAGAGGAACACCUGAGGCGAAGGCGGGUUGCUGGGCUGAUACUGACGCUGAGGCGCGAAAGCCAGGGGAGCAAACGGGAUUAGAUACCCAGGUAGUCCCUGAGCGGGCUGGCAAGGCGCAU
rnacentral:rRNA from 1 species